GACGAACGCUGGCGGCGUGCUUAACACAUGCAAGUCGAACGGAAAGGCCCUGCUUUUGUGGGGUGCUCGAGUGGCGAACGGGUGAGUAACACGUGAGUAACCUGCCCUUGACUGUGGGAUAACUUCAGGAAACUGGGGCUCAUACCGGAUAGGAGCUCCUGCUGCAUGGUGGGGGUUGGAAAGUUUCGGCGGUUGGGGAUGGACUCGCGGCUUAUCAGCUUGUUGGUGGGGUAGUGGCUUACCAAGGCUUUGACGGGUAGCCGGCCUGAGAGGGUGACCGGCGACAUUGGGACUGAGAGACGGCACAGACUCCUACGGGAGGGCGAAGUGGGGAAGAUUGCACGAUGGGCGGAAGCCUGAUGCAGCAACGCCGCGUGCGGGAUGACGGCCUUAGGGUUGUAAACCGCUUUCGCAUGUGACGAAGCGUGAGUGACGGUAAUGGGUAAAGAAGCACCCGCUAACUACGUG
rnacentral:rRNA from 1 species